CAUGUUUUAAUCCCCACGGACAUUAUUUUUAUUUCUAAAUGUUAGGGCUGCGUGAUAUGGGUCGGUUUUAGGGGCAUGUUUUUAUUUGUAGGAACUCAAGGCUCACUCACUUAUUUAAUCUGCUUCCUUCAGUUCUCUUCACACUCACAGACCUCACGUACCUCUGCUACAAACACGUCAGUGUGCCCCGCUUUCUGUCUCUCCCUGGUAACUUUCUCCAUAAGUAGGCUACGGUGAGGGACAGAGGAGCAACGCUUGCAGGACUUUACAAAACAUUAAUUCAAUCAACCAUAAACUAUAUCGGUAUAAACUGCGUUGUCCAAUUUUUAUCUCUUUUGAAAUGAUCUCGGUAUACCGCCCAGCUCUACUAAUGUCCCUGGUUGGUGAAAUUAUUUAACUGGCGAGCUAACUAACAUGCUAAUAAGUUUGGCUAGCGCUAAGUAGGGAUGGGGAUCGAGACCCCGUUCUAAAAGUACCCGGAUCCAACAUUUCUCAAAAUCAAAGUUUGAGCUUCUCAAUACUGCUAUUGAGACUAGUGGGUCCUAUAAAGUAACGUUAUUUCUCGAGCGUCUGAUCUGUCUUGAGAUGCGAUGGAUAAGAAGGCUAAUGAUGGCACUGAAACGGUAUUAAACAGGCCCAGGACUGUUUAUCAUCAGGCUACAGCCUCUGCUACUCUAUUGGCUCCUACACACAGCAGCCAGCAGAGCGAGAUGUCCAAGAUGAAGUUAAGUUCGCUCCAGACCAUUCAGAUCCAGAUCUGAAUGUUUCUGUCUCUUCAGUUCCCAGAUGAGACUCUGUGGAGCGACAAGCUGCUCAACAUGAUUGUAGCUGUCAUCAACUCCACACAGGUAACAGCUGAUCAGGACUCACCUCUGCAGAACCUUUAGGCUGGUUCUGAUCCAGUUUGUGUUCAGUGAGUAGGACUCUAUGUUGUAGCUGCAGGAGCCCGGUGAUGUUCAGGAAGGACUCUGUGCUCAGCAUCCUCAAUGAGACACUCUCAGAGGACACCUGUCCUCGCAUCUUUGUCCAAGAGAGGUGAGGACAGACCAAGACAGACAGGUGAGGACUGUCUCUGGGUACCUGAACAGCGGUUGUCUCAGUCUUCAGUUUCAGCAGUAAACUGGCUCGGCACACCCUGGAACAGAUCCUGGAGUUCAUGGACAACCUGAGGCUGAGCACCACCAAGAACAGCUGUCACUACACAGGCUUAUUGAUUGCUUCAGGAGGUAAAGCAACCUGUUUGCCUGGGCAGAGGAGUACGAGGACUCCCAGACCAAGCCUCCCAAGUGUUCGGCCUCCUCACUUCCACCAACCACCAAUAAGGAGGCGAGCGCCUCAGUAUAUAGCCCCAGCUCCACCUGGCACUGUGUGAGGACAACCUGAAUCUGCGUCUCAUUCUCUGAUUGGUCUGUUUCGAAACCACACAGAAAUUUGAUAUUGUCUGAUUUGUGGAACCGGAAGCAGCUUUGCGUCUUCACCAAGGUUUGAAAAGUGAAGCCUCAAACCUGCAUUCUCUGUAACAGCCAGCAGGCAUUGUUAACAUUGUCCAAUGGCAAUUUUGUAUUUUAUCACUCAACACUAAUUUGAAUAGUGAUUUACUCUUCAAGUAACUGUGUGACUGCAUUUCCUUUGUGUGUUUCUGGUAAGUCAUGUUGGGUUUUAAAUUUCAUUCAUAGUUUUCUUAAAUUUGACCAGUUGAAACCUGCAGAAACUUUUUAUUCAGUUAUCUGUCUACCUGACUUAACAAUUUGCAUUUUGUGGGACUUAUUUUAGACUUUAUUUGCUUAAAACUCUACAUUUAAAGCUCCCUUUUAUAUUAAGUAAAAGUGCUGCUGAUGGAAUAAAGUUAUGCAUAGUCUCUUUUUCCUCAACACACUAAAGUAGUAAAAGGAAAUUUUAUUUAGCUCAAGUUAUUACUUAAUACCAAGAAAUCUCAUUAAGGAUCUGGACAUGGAGAAUGUUCAACAUGAAAACAAAUUGAAUUAAUUGACUGAUCAGAUAAUUAACCAGCAAUUUUGAUAAUCAGUCUAUUCAGCUUUAUGCACGAUGUGCCUUAUUUUGUGUCAAUGUAGAAAUGACAGUUGUUUAAGGUUUUGAUACUAAUAAAGAGAAAUUGAAUUGUAGUAAUGCAGUUGUAUUUUUCAGGACUAUCUGAAAAUGCUUGUCAAGCUUACUAGUAGAAAUUUUGUUGAGUGAGUUUCCAUUAGUAUUUGAGUCUAGCACAAUUGUAGUAUAAGUUGUGCACAAUUACAUUUAUUGAGUAAAUUAGUGGAAUUGUUAAGAAUCAAUUAAUGUAAUUUAGUAUUGUGAGGCCACUCUGUGGGAGUGAUACCUCACCGCUGUUAACCAUCUUUGUUUUGUUGAGGUGAUUGCUGAUUGGGUGAACCUUUGAGUCGGGAGAUAAAGCUCCACUUGGGCAAACUACUGGGGCUUCUGCCUUCUCUGCAACCCAGACGUCCACUGUGGCCUAACCAUCGUGACUGCCAUAUUUUGCUUUGAGUUAUUUAUGUUACAGCGACAAACCUUGCACAAUUAAAUAGUUAUGUUUAGUUCACUCUCUUGUUAAAUAAAUCACUUUUUGAUCAUUUA